rfam:Glossina pallidipes unplaced genomic scaffold Scaffold87, whole genome shotgun sequence.
GUGGUAGUUUUUAGUACGUAAGCGCCAUGGAUGGCGAUUCGUGCAUGCUGCUACUAAGAACCAACAGUAUCUUUUGAAUAUUCUCUACCUC